rnacentral:rRNA from 1 species
UUGGGUGGAUACCUAGGUACUCAGAGACGAUGAAGGGCGUAGAAACCGACGAAAGGCUUUGUGGAGCUGGAAACAAGCUAUGAAUCAAAGAUUCCCGAUAUAGGGCAACCUUAAAAAACUUUUCGAGUAAUUCAUAAUCGAGAAAGAGACAACCUGAUGAAUUGAAACAUCUUAGUAAUCAGUGGAAAAGAAAACAAAUAUGUGUAUUCUCUUAGUAGCGGCGAGCGAAUAGAGAUUAGUCUAAACCAAGAAUAUA